GAUUGAAGGAGAUUACAACAUACAAGGUCAAGAUUUUCUCUCUUUUCUCUCUGUUUUUCUUCAGAUCAUUAUGCUUUGAACAAAAUAUUCCUCUCUCAUUUUUAUUCUCUUUUGAAAUCGAUUCACAGUGGAACAAUGAGAAAGAAAUCGAAGCAAAACCAAGGGAAGAAGAUGAAGAAGCUCCAAUGCAAGGCUAUAACUUCUUCAAGAACAAAGAAGAUUGACUUGUUUCUUGCAGGAGUUAAUACAAAACUAAAGAACAAAGAUAUGACAAUUGAUAUCAAAGUUGACACAAGCUCCAAUGUAACCUAUUUUUAUUUUUCUUUCUACUUUAUCGUCUCUCUGCUUAUGAUUUGAGUAUCGUACUUGCCCUCCCCUUCUCUCAUUCUCUUUCUUCAUCACAUAGCAUGAAAGUUCUAAAUAUAUUUUAUAUUGCUUUUAAUUCUAUA